rnacentral:rRNA from 1 species
AGUGAACGCUGGCGGUAGGCCUAACACAUGCAAGUCGAACGGCAGCACAGUAAGAGCUUGCUCUUACGGGUGGCGAGUGGCGGACGGGUGAGGAAUACAUCGGAAUCUACUUUUUCGUGGGGGAUAACGUAGGGAAACUUACGCUAAUACCGCAUACGACCUACGGGUGAAAGCAGGGGAUCUUCGGACCUUGCGCGAUUGAAUGAGCCGAUGUCGGAUUAGCUAGUUGGCGGGGUAAAGGCCCACCAAGGCGACGAUCCGUAGCUGGUCUGAGAGGAUGGUAAGACACACUGGAAGGAAACUGCGAAACGGGCACGUCUGGGACGCGCCAGAGGGGUAGGGUGUACAAGGCCAUGAGGGAUGGACCGAUCCAGUCGUGGGAAGGAAAAGAAGCAGGCUGGUGGGGUUGUGUUCUGUGGGGAAGAAAGAGAAAAACGCGAGUAGAGUGGUGUGCUGACGGUACGUAAAGAAUAAGCACCGGCUAACUUCGUG